CGAUUCAAAUGAAGUUUUCGGACGGAUUUUGAAUUGACUUACCGGCGGACGGGUGAGUAACGCGUGGGUAACCUGCCUCAUACAGGGGGAUAACAGUUGGAAACGACUGCUAAUACCGCAUAAGCACACAGUGCCGCAUGGUACGGUGUGAAAAACUCCGGUGGUAUGAGAUGGACCCGCGUCUGAUUAGGUAGUUGGUGAGGUAACGGCCCACCAAGCCGACGAUCAGUAGCCGACCUGAGAGGGUGACCGGCCACAUUGGGACUGAGACACGGCCCAAACUCCUACGGGAGGCAGCAGUGGGGAAUAUUGGACAAUGGGGGAAACCCUGAUCCAGCGACGCCGCGUGAGUGAAGAAGUAUUUCGGUAUGUAAAGCUCUAUCAGCAGGGAAGAAAAUGACGGUACCUGACUAAGAAGCCCCGGCUAACUACGUGCCAGCAGCCGCGGUAAUACGUAGGGGGCAAGCGUUAUCCGGAUUUACUGGGUGUAAAGGGAGCGUAGACGGCACUGCAAGUCUGGAGUGAAAGCCCGGGGCUCAACCCCGGGACUGCUUUGGAAACUGUGGUGCUAGAGUGCAGGAGA
rnacentral:rRNA from 1 species